UCAGGAGUGAAGGAGCUGCUUGAUCUACAGCAGAGUCCAACCUGUCGACUGGAGACUGUGAGAUUGUGAUCUUUGUGAAGGAGAGUGUGAAGAGGACAGUGUGUGUGGACGGAGGCUGAGCUGUGUCCUGAGGAUCCAGAGGCUGAAGCAGCAGCAGCUUGUGUGUAGUCUCCAAUCUACACAACCCCUAAUCUGCAUGUGUUUGUGAGAUGAAGCCGGAGCACCUGUUUAAAACACGGGGAGAACGUGCAGCCUCCACACAGGAAGACCCCAUCUGAACCGGAUUCAAACCAGCAACCUUCUUGCCCCGAUUGUGUUUAUCGCCAUGAGGAAUGUGUUUAUUGAAAUGACACAACACAAGCAGAAUAUAUAAACACUCUGAUCAAGGCUGAUCAGAGAGAAGUUGUCUAAAUAAUUGAUAAGAUUCUCAGCUGUUUCUGAUAUUUCUAUUCUUGAUGGUGUAUUAGUGCCGACUGGGGGCAGAUGGUGGUUGAUAUUAUUUAUAAUUGUUAGAAUUUUAUCAUUAAAGAUAUUGUUAUUCAGGGAUGGAGGGAUACUGGGUUGGGUGGAGGUGUGACUCUGUCAGCUACAGAGCUGAAGAGAAACCUGGGGUUGUUUUUAUUUUCUUAUAUUAAUGUGGAUUAGUAGGCAGCUCUUGCUUUGUGGAGCCUUCUUAUUAACAUUAACACUAUUUUUCCAGGCUAGGUGAUUUUCAGCACAGUUGAUGGAGCGCCACUUCCUUUAGUUUUCUUGACGCUUGUUUUAAUUCAUGUGUGUUGGAAUUAUACCAGGGAGCUAAUUUACUAUGUUCUACAUGCUUCUUCUUUAGAGGCGCUGUGGAGUCUAAUGUAAAUCGUAAUGACUUUACUGAGCUAUCGACAAGAUAGUCAAUCUCAGUGGAGCUCGGGUUCUUAAAGAAUUCGUUGGUUAUAUCGAGGGAUAAUAUGGGUUUAAAUGUAAUUGGAAUUAUUUCCUUAAAUUUAGUUACAGCACUAUCAGGUAGACAUCUAGAAAAUGAGUUUUUUAUUAAUGGCCUAUAUUCUGAUGAGAAAUCCAAGGUUAUUAAAUUGUGGUCAAUAGAAUCUGUUGUACUAGCUCAUAACGUGUCACUGCUUUUAUGGAAAAAAAUAAAAUUAUUUGAUUGCCAA